AUACAUUUUUUUAAUUUUAUUUUUAAUUUGUUGAAAAAUAUUUAUUUUGAUGUUUUUAGUAUUUUUGAUGUAUUAUAUAUAUUUUAAAAUUAUAUAAAAAUAAUAUAAAAAUUAAUAUGGGUCGGUCGGGUCGGGCCCGGGUUUUAGUAUUUUUACUCGGGUCGGACUUGAGCAAAAAUUUAAGCCCAUUUUUUGGGUUGGUCCGGGCCCAGCAAACGGGCCUGAAUUUUUAGUUAAGCUUGGCUAGAACCCAGCCCGGCUUGGCCCAUGCACACCUCAAUAUAUAGUCUUACUUCUUAAUUUCAUUGAGUAAUUAGGAUAUAGGUUUAACACAUGUGCUUCGCCGUCGCUUGCUUGACCUGGUCCAUGUUAACACGAAUACCACGUGUAAGGCCCAAAUUUUACCCGGGCCCGAUAUAACAAAACCAAGUAACCAAAUAUAAGAGUCCAAUAGCCCAAAUUCAAUAACCAAAACCCAAUUUAUAAACCCUAAUAGCCCAAGCCCACUAUGUUAAAAAAAUUUUCAGCAGCCACCAAAGUUUUCAGCCGCAUGCCUUUAGCCACCAGCCUUCUCACGCGUGCCACCACCGCUCGGGGCGCCAAUCACCGGCCUUCCACGCGUCUGACACUCCCAUGACCUGCAAACAUUUGGAAAAGAGGAAAAAUGGCAGCAAGAAGCACAAGCAGUAGCAGAAAAUAAAACAACAAUAUUUUAAUAUAGGAAUCGGCUAUAAAGCCGAAAUGAAACUGAUUGUAACGGGGACGCACAUUUGAAUCAAAGAACAAAACAAAAUUUAAAGGUUGAUCUCUGAUUUAUUUUUUUUCUUUGUUUUUAUUUCGUUCUUUCAUCUCUUUAAAUUUCUUUUUAUUUAUACUACAAAUCUAAAAAACAAAAAGGGUAUAAAAUCAAAGAAGGGGACUUACCCGAAUCGAAGUGACCGUCGUCGGAGAUCGCUCCUCCGUCGUCGGAUUCGACCCGAAGAGGUCGUAGGGGGUUCCUUCUUUGGAUCUUCUUUGGUCGAGGAAGUUUUCGCUGUUGAGUUCGCCUUAAACAGGGGCUUGAAAGCCCGGUUUACACCCCAACCACCGCCUGUGGUGGCGCUGCGGUGAAGGCGGCGAUGAAGGUUCUAAGAAUCCUAGCCGAAAUGAGCAGGGAGAGGGAGAGAGGGUAAAGGCCCUCUGUUUUCUUUUUUCUUUUUUAAAAUAGAAGUUGAAAUGAAAAAGAAAAAAGAAUGGCUUAAAUGGCCACAGAAACGGCAGCAUUUUUUUUUAAGGCUAAAAUGGGAUAUUUUCGUUCACGGUCCCUCCUCUUUUCCUGCACCAUUUGAUUUAGUCCUUUUUGCAUUUUCUUUUUUUUUAAAUUUCGCCCACUUAUUUCAUUUCAUUUCCGUUUUAAUCCUCGGCCUGAGUGGUUGAAAUGCAGCGCAUUUGAGACUUGGGAUAGUGUCCCAUUUCGUCCCCAUAACUUUGAAUGCAUUUUGAUGUAGUCCAUGACACUUAUCUGUUAUUAUAAUUUGUACCUUUUCUUUCAUUUUGAUUUUAAUUUAAUCAUUUCCUCUUUAUUUCAAACUGUUUCAUUAUAUUUUAUUAUAUGCCCCAUUUGCGAUUUAUUUAGAUAUUAUUUUAUUUAGUUUCAAACUUUACACGGUAUUUGUAUAUUCGCCCUUUUUUAUAAAAAAAAAACUGUUUUAUAUUUAUUUAUUUUAAGUUUUUUUACAUAUUAAUUAUUUUAAUGCAUACAUAUAUUACAUAUUUUGUCUUCAUUUUUAUUAGACUAUUUGUUCUUUUUAUGUUCCAUUAUUGUGCAUAUUCAUUCUUAAAUCUUUCACAUGAUGUUUUAAACCUUUUUAUUGAUCUGUUUUGGGCCUUUUAUACUAUUUUGCCUUACAUUAAGAUCCUUAUUCAUAUUAGUUAUUAUAGAUUGCUACGUUUUACUCCAAAGUACCAUUUUUAUUUUAAAUCGUUUCAUGUACUAUUUAUUUAAAAUUAUUUCGUUAUCUUAAACCUUUUUAUUUAUUUAUUUUUAGCAUUCUAUGUAUUAUUUAUUAUAAGUUUUUGUAUUACCCAUUUUUAAACUUUAUGUACUCAUGUCUAUAUUAUUUGUUAUAAAAUUUAUGUAUAUAUUUUUUUGAAAAUUGUCUUAUGCAUUAUUGAUUUUAAAAAAAUUCACUUCUUUCUAUUAUUUAUUUUUAAGCUUAUUUGCUAUCUUUUUCAAAUGGUUCAUACGUUUUAUUUAUUUUGAUUGGUUCCAUACUUUUUAAAUUGUUAUAUAUGUCCUUAUUGAUUCUUCCUUAGCUAAUUCUAGCAUGUAAAAUAAUGUAUGUUGAAUCAUUAUCAUCAUUGUAUGUACCACAAUACGCUCGCUUAUAUUUUCACAUUAUCAUCGUAUAUUUACGCGGUGUUAGUCAUGUGUUAUCGCCUAUAUUUAUUAUUAUAUCGUAUUUCAUAUCAUUGCUUUACAAAUUAGACCCCAAUACAUUUACCUAAUAAACCGUUUUAUUUUAACCUAAAUAAAUAACACUUGUUGCUUAAAUAUUGCAUUCAUUACUAUUCAAAAACGAAAUUUUCCAAAUAAGGCAAUGCUAUUCAUUUUGGAACAUCGAGGAAUUGUGCACUAACUUACGAGGUUUUGAUUUUCUCAUUGUUUCUAAAUAGCAAAUAUCCUUUUUGAGUUUUAAAAUACAUGGAUUUCCAAUUAAGAUUAAAGACAACUUACGCUCGGGAGUUCAUGGUAUCGUGUCCUAACUUACGGGAUUUGACACUUUGAUAUCUCGAGACGUGGAAAUAUUUAGCAACCACUUUGAUUUAAUUCGAAUUUUUUAAAAUUAAUAUUAAUAAAAAAAUUGUAUUUCAAAUCCGUUCCCGUUUUAAUUUUAACUUUCAAAACCAAAGUCGAUCCCGUUUUCAAAAAAUGGUUACAACACUAUCUUGUACGUUAUAUUUUAUCAUGUUAAUGUGCUCUUUCAUGCAUCAGUUUUAAAAAUGAGACUUCAAGGAUUUCAAAAAAUAUAAAGGCAAUGUUUGGUGUUUGGAAAUUUUGAAAAAGUAGUGCCCUAACUUAUUGGGUUGCAACUUUUCUCGUUGAGUUCGAAUAGUCAAGUACCCUUCUAAGUUUUUAAGAUUUUCAAAAUACGAGCAACUAUCUUGGAAUUUCAAAGCGUUGUGUCCUAACUUAUUGGAUGCGACGAUUUUUCGUUUCGAGAUAAGGAUUUCCAAAAGGUUAACUUAGUGUCAAUGUUUUGAUACGAGUGAACCCAAAUUUUCGAAGUUAAAAUAUUUUAAAGAGGAUUAUAUCUUAAUUUUUUUUAAAUUCCGACAUUAAAGACAUUUGAUAAUCAAUUAGGUAUCAAUUUUUGGGCGUUACAAGGGUGCUAAUCCUUCCUCGUACGUAACCGACUCCCGAACCCGUUCUUUUAUUUCGUCGACCAAAACUAAUGAUUUUAAAACAAAAUGUUUUAAAGGUGAUCCAAUCACACCUAAAAAGAUUGGUGGCAACUCCCGGUUUCAUUUUUUUUAAAAUCGAUUCCCAUUUUCUAAAACUCGAUUUGAAAAUGGUUUCGUCAGCUUGGCGACUCCACUGGGGAUUAAUAAGAGAGUCAGACCAUGUAAUUGGUUAUCUCUUGUCUUAAUGUCGGAAAUUAAAAAUUUUAAAAUUUAAUCCCCUUUGCAUUACAUGUGUUUGUAUUAUUGCAUGCUAUAUUCUGAUCGCAUUGCAUUUGCAUGACCGUUGUGGUCACACCCUUAAGUGGGAGUGAGAAGCUACGCCUUCGUGAGGUUUUCGCCUCCGUGCAGGAUAGUGGAUCACUUUCGGGAUACAUCCGUACCUAUGGUUUCAUGAGAUUUUCAUCUCCGUGUAGCCAUAGGGAAAUGUAUUCCCCUGAACUGAACUCGAUUCAAAUGAGCCUAUAACGGGUGAGGAUCGAGGAAUCUGCUGGUUCGGGUACCUCAAACUUUAGAACCAACCCCAUGUCAAAGGACCGUAUAAGCCCAACUUAGACAUUACCCUUAUAAGUUAUCGUUGAAAUUUAUUGAUAUCAUGUGAUACUGACUAUCUCUUUUCUUUUGCUUGUAUGUCAUUUUGCAUUUACAAAGAUAUCGGUUCACGGUCAGUUUCUAAGUUAGGAAGUUUUAUUAUGGAGAACGGACUUCUUGAUAAAGUGGAAGGCAACGUUAACGUCCACAGAUGGUCCGAGCAAACUCAACUAGAAAAGGGAGAUAGUAUAGCUGAGGGAAAUCGGAGUUGUCAGAUUACACUCGUAUUAGCGUCACGCAGAAUAAUCUCCAGGAGCUUAAGGCAAUUUGGGAUCAGUGGGGCAAAGAGACUAAGCAAUUAUUCUACGGUAAUUAUGGAGACUUACCUUACUUGCUUGAUGAUCAGGUAGACGAGCACUUAUUCUGAGCCCUUGCUCAGUUUUGGAACCCGGCGUACAGUUGCUUCACUUUUGGGGAAGUAGACAUGGUACCUACUGUGGAAGAGUACACUGCUUUACUUCGUUGUCUCCGGUUUCAGAAUGACAGGAUCUAUUCCCGAGCUCCUUGUGUCCCUACCUUUUGGAAGAAAUUGAUGAUUAUUACGGGGAUGAGCGAGCAGUGGGACAUAGCCCGAAUUAAAGAAAAGGGUGAGUGCAAGUGCAUUUCGUGGGAUACUUUGAAAGAUUUGAUUCUGACAUACCCUGAUGAGACAAAGAAGGUAGAUGUUUUUGCCUUAAGUUUAUAUGGAUUGAUGGUUUUCCCUAGGGCUUUGGGAUAUGUGGAUGAGGCAACCACCGAUCUUUUUCAUCGACUCAGUAAAAAGGUCACUUCUGUCCCUGCAAUUUUGGUGGAAACAUUUAGGUCUUUAGGUGCAUAUAGGAGGGCUGGUGCUGGCAGGUUCAUAGGGUGUACUCAGUUGCUUUUGGCUUGGUUCUACAGUUAUUUCCGGUUGAUAGAUAGGGUGGUUUGUCGAGUUUUCUUUGAGGAUUACUCAUCGUUGAAAGAUAUAGUAGCUUCAACCAGGAGAGUUGAUGUUCUAGAAGAGAAUUGGACAGCGCUGCUUCAGAACCUUCAGUCGAAAGAUGUCGAGUGGAGGGCUCCGUGGAUGACGCCUGGUGAGGUUCUUUACCGAUGUGGUAGUUUUGAUUGGGUACCCCUAUUAGGAAUUUGGGGUGCCAUUGUCUAUGCCCCUUUGCUCGUACUGAGGCAGCAUGGAUUGAGACAGUUCAUACCAGCGACUCAGGGGUUGGCUCAAAGUGAGUUUGUAUAUAAAGGAGCCGAUUACAAGAGGAGGGUUAGUGAAGUCUCUAGUGCUUGGAAGAAGACUUGUCGAUUGAGAGGAGUAGCUAUUAGCCCCGCUACGACACCGGAAUACGUAAAAUGGAGAGGUAGAAGGGUUAAUGAUAAUAUCCCUAAGCCAAGUAUGGAAGGAGCUCGACCAAUGGAGGAAUAUUUGCAAGUAAGGCCCUCAGAGUUAGAAAUUAUAAAGUAGGAGUUCGAGAGACAAAGCUUGGAAUUCGAGAAGAGAGUAGCAAAGCUCGAGGAAGAAAAGAUGUACUUGAGUUUAGAAGUUGAUGUUCAAAAGAUGAAAGUCGAGAAAGAGAGGAAAUAAAAAAGAAAGAUGGAGGAAGAUCGAAAUGAUCUAAAAGAGCAUUACAAAAGGGCACAAGUAGCCUUGAGGGGGGCGAAAGUAGGAGGAUCUUCAGAUCAGUUACAAAAGGAGGUCCAAGAGGAAAUGGCUAGAGCUGAGUACUGGGAGAGGAAAUUCCAAGAGAUGUAGGUGCAGAAUUUGGCAUUAGAGGAAGAGAAUAAAGGAUUGAAGACCAAGGUAAUGGAACUUGAAAAAUCCCUGCGUUGGCACCAAAACCAUAAUUCUACGGUUGAGUUAAAGGAGCUAAGAAGCAAGGUCGAAGAUUUGGAGGAAGCGUGGCAUGACAGUGAACUCCGGGUUGAACAGCUCAAGACGCAAGAGGAUUAUCUGAGGGGAGAGCUACACCAGGCUAAAGAACAGGUUAGAAAAAUGGAUCAUGUCAUUGGUGAAGCCAUAGCCCAGAUUCGAGAGGUUGCUGAGUAUGUGCAAGACUUGGCAAUUCGAGCUGGCGUUUUGAGUCUGAUGUAUUCAUCAUCGUCAGAUGUAGGACGAGAGUUAGCCCUUUUAUUAGAUAGAGUUAAAGCUUUGGGCCUUAGGGCGAAAACGUAUUUGUAAUCCUCUUAUAUGUAAAGAUAUUAUUUUUCUAAAUAAAAUUUUCUAAAUGAAGUUGAACCAGAAUCGAUAUUCUUUUUGCAUUCAUGCAUUUGCAUCUCAUAACAUUUCAUCACAUCAUUUGCAUUCAAAGUUAUAGAAAGACAUUGAUUAAUUAAAGUUUACUUUCUAAAGGUAGAAAAGAAAACCUGGAAAUCACACAUCCUUACGGAACUCGUACUAAAACUAAGAACAUGGAUCAAAGGUUCGAGCAAUUACAAAAAGACAUGCAAGAUCAAAUGCAAGAGCAGUUGGCCAAAAUGCAGAAUGAAGUGAGGGAGCAGAUGCAAGAGGCUCAGAGAAACAUGAUGGCUGAAAUGGCUCAGCUGCUGAGAGCCAUUGAUAAAGGAAAAGCUCCCAUGGCAAUCAUUGAAGAAGAGAAUGAAGGUCCUCCUCCGGGUUUUACCCCGCCUCAUGUGCCCCUGCAAACCGAGACACCUCCUAGAAGGCCAUCUGUCACAGUGAGGCCUCAACAUGGGCCAGUGGAUGCUGGAAUCCCCAUAAAUUUCCCAUCUAGGUUGGGAAAUAAUUUAAGUGAUAGCUCGGUCAACCCUAUUACUCCUGAUCUGGAUUUAAUGGAGAAGGAAAGAAUGGUCACUGAAUCCUCGAAACAAUUGGAGGAUCGUUGCAGGUGGUUAGAGGAGAAGUUUAGGGUUUUAGAAGGCGCUGGCAAUCAUCAUGGGAUCGAUGCCAAAGACUUAAGUUUGGUUCCAGAUUUAGUGCUUCCUCAUAAAUUUAAGAUGCCAGAGUUCGAAAAGUAUAACGGGACGAGCUGCCCUGAAGCCUAUAUUACGAUGUUCUGUCGAAGGAUGACAGGGUAUGUUAACAAUGAUCAGCUGUUGAUCCACUGUUUCCAGGAUAGUCUGAUCGGAUCUACGGCCAAGUGGUAUAACCAGCUCAGCCGUGCCCAAAUUGGUUCGUGGAAGGACUUGGCUCAAGCUUUCAUGAAACAAUACGGUCACAUGACGGACAUAGCACCUGACAGAAUUACCCUACAAAACAUGGAAAAGAAGCUGAGUGAGAGCUUCAGACAGUAUGCACAACGGAGGAGGGAAAUAGCGAUGCAAGUCUAGCCACCCCUCUUGGAGAAGAAAACGACCAUGCUAUUUAUUAACACUCUAAAGGCCCCAUUCAUUAACCACAUGUUAGGAAGUGCUACUAAAAGCUUCUCGGACAUAGUAAUGUCCGGGGAGAUGAUAGAAAACACAGUAAGAUGUGGGAAGAUUGAAACAGGGGAAAAUGCCAAGAGAACGGCUCCAAGAAGGAAAGAAAAUGAGGUGAACAAUGCGAGCGCAUAUCAUAAGGGUUAUUCCAAGCCGGUCACAGUAAACCAGCUGAGGGCAGUGACUACUGGCCAUCAGGGCUCCGCGAGUCAAGAUUCCAACCCAAUGCCUAACACGGAAAGAGUCCAGUUCACACAAAUCCCAAUGACGUAUAGGGAGCUUUAUCAGAAUCUGUUCGAUGCGCAUGUAGUGUCUCCCUUUUUCCUAAAACCCAUGCAACCUCAAUUCCCAAAGUGGUAUGAUGCAAGCGUGCAAUACGAAUACCAUGCAGGAAUUGUGAGGCACACAAUUGAGAACUACACGGCCUUCAAAAAAUUAGUCGAAAGGUUUAUAAAGAUGGGCAUUGUGAAGUUCGAUGAUCCCACAAAACCUAAUGUGGCGGGGAAUCCAUUACCCAGUCAUUUAGACAAUAGGGUAAACGCGAUAAGCGAAAGUGGAGGAAGGAGAACUAAGAUAGACGUAUCGGAGGUAAAGACCCCGUUGAGAUGGGUUUGGAAGAAAAUGGUGGAAGAAGGUUUACUUAUACAAGGUUUAGAGGAGAAGCCUGAAGGAGGGAAGUACUAUUGUGAAUUCCAUGACGAGGAAGGGCAUGAGAUCCAAAAGUGUAAUGAAUUCAAGGCUCUGGUACAGAGAUUGAUAGAAAAUAAAGAGAUCGAAUUCUUUGAGUACACCGAGGUCCCGAAGGGAGAAGAUGUGUGCACGUUAGAGCAAGUGUAACACCCCGUACCCGAGACCGUUGCCGGAGUCGAACUCGAGGGGUUAACAGACUUAAUUCCCUUAUUUUUACAGUCCAUUUUAAAAAUUUCCAGACUAGCUGGCUAACUUCGUCACUGUCACCUUAAAGAUCAUAUCUUGAGUUCCAAAACUCGAAAAUCAGUUUCGUAAAUUUUAUCUGAAACUAGACUCAUAUAUCCAUCUACAAGUUUUUUUCUAGAAUUUUUGGUCUGGCCAAUUAGUACAGUUUAUUAGUUAAAGUCUCCCCUGUUACAGGGUUCGACUGCUCCGACCUUCAUGCAUUACGACUUAUAUAUCUCCCUGUACAGGGCCUCAAUACUUAUGCCAUUUGUUUCUAAUGAAACUAGACUCAAAAAUGAAUCUAUAAAUAUAUGACAUGACUUCUAAUUAUCUCUGUUUAAUUUAUAAUUAAUUUCCAAAGUCAGAUCAGGAGAUCCAGAAAUCGCUCUGGCCCUGUCCCACGAAAACUUAAAUAUCUCUUAAAAUACGACUCAUAUGACCGUUUUUUUUCUUCCAUAUGAAAGUAGAUUCAUCAAGGUUAGAUUAAAUAAUUUAUUCACUAUUUAAUUCCAUUCUUACUAUUUUUAGUGAUUUUUCAAAUCCACACCACUGCUGCUGUCAGCAUCUAUUUUUAAGGUAAACCUUACCUAUUUCAUGGUUUUCCAUGAAUCAACUAGAGUUUGUCAUACAUAGCAUCAAAAUAAUCAUAAUUAACCAUUCCCAAUGGCUAAUCGUUACCAAAAAUUUCCAUACCUCUCAAUGAACAACAUACAAGACGAUUAUAAUGCUAUGCUCAAAGUGUAUAUAAGCCAUUUUCGCAUGGCUAUCCAAAUUUAUACAAAACCAAAGGGUACAUGACCAACAACAAAAAGGGGUAGUCCUAUACAUGCCAUUUCAGAGUUCAAUCAAAAGUGUACCAAGGGGGCUUUGAUAGUGUGGACGACUUUGACUUCGACAAUCCCGAGUCCGAUAGCUGACGAACCAAAAUCUAUAAAACAGAGAAUCAAAGAAACGGAGUAAGCAUUUAAUGCUUAGUAAGUUUUGAAUAAUGAAAUUAGUUUCGGCUAAGGUAUAACAUUCAUAUGGCUAAAUGGAUAACUUCAUAUAUGUACAUUCUCAUGAACAUACUUACUUCACGCUUCAAUCAAUAUAUUCAUUCACAAGGUAUCAAACCUAACUAAAGGCUGAAAAUUCGUUAAUCAAUUGAACGAAUACUAUUUAAAACGAAUCGACUUUUCCGAUGCAUAUACGAAACAUACCUCAUCGUUUGGAUUUUAUGAGCGUAUUAAUUUGAAAUUUACAGCAAGAUCGCUCAUUCCCAAACCAAGUACCUUUGGAGUUUAGCCGGAUAUAGCUACUAGCUCAAAUGCCUUCGGGACUUAGCCCGGUUAUAGUAACUUGCACAAAUGCCUUCGGGACUUAGCCCGGUUAUAGUAACUCGCACAAAUGCCUUCGGGACUUAGCCCGGAUAUAGUAACUCGCACAAAUGCCUUCGGGACUUAGCCCGGAUAUAGUAACUCGCACAAAUGCCUUCGGGCUUAGCCCGGAAUUAGUCACUAGCACAAAUGCCUUCGGGACUUAGCCCGGUUAUCAAUCCGAAUAUCCAUGCACAUCUCAAUAAAUCAUGACACAUCAAUAUUUCAUUUUCAUAACUAGAAUUCAAACACAAUUCACUUAUCAAGCAUUAUCAUUUUCGGCUCAAUAGCUACAUACAAAGGGCAUGAUUUUGAUUUGCUUAUAACAUAAUCUAAUCGAAUCAUAAUCUAAGUUUCAUUACUCGAAAACUUACCUCGGAUGUUGUCGAACGAUUUCGACGGCUAUUCGAUCACUUUUUCCUUUCCCUUAUCCAGCUUAGGUCCUCUAAGCUCUUGAGCUAAUUCAAACAAAUUUAACUUAUUAAAGUCUCAUUAUGCUAGCUUAUGGCCGAAUAUGACAAUGAAUUUGAUAGGUCAUAUGGCCACCUUUAGCUCAAAUACAAAAUGGUCAUACGCAUUUUUAAUCAUAUUAAGCAAUUUAAUACCAUUAAUCUAACAUUUCCUCAUGUGCAACUUUAUGACCGAAUACACAUAUCAUUAACUCAAUAUCAAUUAACUAAGCACUUAAACAAAUUCUCUUUAACUAUACACACAUUCGGCAAUGACAAAGACAAUUUAGCAAACCUUAAAUUCAACUUAUAACAAUAUAUAUAUUCAAUAUUCAAAGCAUUUAACAUCACUUCACCAUAAUUUUUACAUCAUGGCCGAAUGUUCCUUUGAACCAUUUACCCUUGCAAGGCAUAAAUUUCACCAUCAAAACUAACAAGCUUAUAAUCCCAUGACCGAAACCUCUAACAACACCAAUUAAAAAUACUUCAUGGGUUUGAGGUAAAACCAAGAAAGAAACUCAUAAAUAUCGAGAUAUAAGCACUAACAUUGUUUAUCUAGAUUUAGCAUGAAACAACAUCCAUCACCCUUAUAAUUACCAUAGCCGAAAACCUUACUCAUUCCAAAAUCCAAAUCUCAACUUGGGUCACAAAAAUAACUUGAUAUCUCAUCAACACAACAUCAACACCAAGCAAGGAUGAUACAUCCAUGGCCGAGUGUCAUCUCCAUCACAUAGCAAGAUUUAGACCAUGGGCUAGGUAGAACUCAAGCUAACAACUAAAACAUGCAUGCAUCUCAUGGAACAUCAUCAAACAUACCUUAGUCUAGCAAACCACCAUAGCCGAUUUCCUCAAAGCUCUUUUUCUUUCCUUUUUCUUUCUUCUAUUCGGCCAAGAACAACAUGAGAGCUUUUUUUCUUUCUUUUUUUUUCAUCAUCAUUUACCUUCCCAUUAUUAUUUUAUUGCCCAUACUCCUUAUUUUAUUUUUCCUAACAUAAAACAUUAACCCAACAUGUUCAUGACAUGUUUUUUAGCCAUAACAUUUUGUCCACCCUCAUGCUCAUGGCCGGCCACUACUAAUUAGGGGGAAAAAUUGACAUGCAAGUCCACCCUUUUGAUUACAUGCACUAAUAGAUCCUUAUAAGUUAACCUAUCACAUUUCAAAAGUGUCACACAUAAGUCCUAUUGACUAAAUUCACAUACAAUUUACUAAAUCGAAGCUUAAAACUUUCACGCAUUCAUAUUCACAUAUUUUGGACAAUAAAUAUCAUAUUCAAAUAAUUUGGUGACUCGGUUUAGCGGUCCCGAAACCGCUUUUCGACUAGGGUCACUUUAGGGCUGUCACAGCAAGGGCCAACCAACAAUGUCUGAAUGGUCAAUCAUCCGGUCGUAUUUAUAUCCCGACCAAGAGUUAAUGAAGUCAGAGUACCAAUUGCGCCAAAGGUCAUAAUUCAAAAGCCUGUUGCUUUCCCUUAUAAGGAUAGCGAAAGGGUUCCUUGGAAUUACGACUGCAACGUAACGAUCCCGGGAGGGGAGAAUCUAGUUGGCACUUCGAAAAAAGGUCAAGACGAGAGUUUCUAUACACGCAGCGGAAGGCGUUAUACUCUGAACACAAAGGCAGAAUCAGCUAAAGGAAAAUCCGUGGUUGUUGAACAAGAAAAGGAAAAGGCGACCAGACCGGAAUCACCCGUCAAUGAGCCUGUAACUGAAAAAGAGGCUAAAGAAUUCUUAAAAUUUUUAAAACACAGCGAGUACAAUGUUGUGGAGCAAUUGCACAAACAGCCAGCUCGCAUAUCCGUACUAGCCUUGCUCUUGAGUUCAGAAACUCACCGAAGCGCAUUGAUGAAGGUUUUAAAUGAAACAUAUGUUGCGGAUGACAUCUCUGUCAACAAACUCGAUCGUCUGGUCAACAACAUCAGUGCGGAUAAUUUUAUUUUCUUUAAUGAUGAUGAAAUACCACCGGGAGGCAUGGGAUCUACAAAGGCUCUACACAUUACCACUCGCUGCAAAGGAUACACAUUGCCGGGGGUAUUGAUUGAUAAUGGAUCGGCAUUGAAUAUCAUGCCCUUGUCCACGUUAUAUAGGCUGCCAGUGGAUAACUCUCACAUAAAGACAUGUCAAAACGUCGUGAGAGCAUUCGACGGUACGGAAAGAAAAGUGGUGGGAAGGAUCGAGAUACCUCUUUUGAUUGGCCCAAAUACAUACGAGGUGGACUUCUUGGUAAUGGACAUCAAGCCAUCAUACAAUUGCCUGUUGGGGAGACCGUGGAUUCACUCGGCGGGGGCAGUGCCGUCAUCCCUACACCAAAAGUUAAAGUUGGUAACUGAGGGUAGGUUGGUAACGAUAAACGCGGAGGAAGAUAUUAUUGCAUCCGUCACCAAUGACACACCGUACGUGGGUGCAGACGAUGAGGCGAUAGAAUGUUCCUUUCGAUCGCUAGAAUUCAUCAAUGCUACAUUCAUUGUCGAAGGAAACAAGAUCCCAAUACCCAAAAUAUCCAAAGCUACGAGGAUGGGUCUGCGACUGACGGUCGGCAAAAGAGCCCUGCCAGGAAGAGGACUUGAAAGGUGCCUCCAAGGAAAGAGCGAGAUACUAAUGCUAAAAGAAAAACGAGACCACUUUGGCUUAGGAUUCAAGCCAGACGCGAAGCAAAAGAAGGAGCUGGAAAAAAGGCAAAAGAUGAGAAGAGCACGUCUGCGCGGUGAGGAGGUCAAAUGGGAACCAAUGACCUUCCCUCAUUUAUCCCGAACGUUCGUGUCUGGAGGAACUAUCUAUCCAAAAUAAGAGAUGACAAUGCAGAAAGUGGCAGAAGAGAUGUUGGGAAGUUGGAGCAUUAACGCCAUAUCUGAAGAAAAAGCUGAAGAAGGGGAUUUAUCUGGAAUUUGCCCUUACAUUUCUGGAAGUGUUUUGAACAAUUGGACCAUGGAGGAGAUCCCUGUAACUUUUAGAAUUAAUUCAGAGUAAUGUUCAAAACAAGCUUAUUGCUCUAUGCCUAGGGGCAAUAAGAACCCUUUUAUGAAAUAGGCAUAUGUCCAAAUAUCGUCAUUUCAAUAAAAAUGCAUUUUUGCAUAUCAUAUUGAGCAAAUAUUAUUUUCUACUUCAUUCAUAAUCAUACCACACAAAUCAAAUAUUCUUAGAUUCUUUUGUUCUUUGGAUUUCUUUCUUCAUCCAUAACAGGUCUCUAGAUAUCAAUGAUAUGAGCAACGUUGCCAAUGACCCAGAGAUUCCUUUCGAGCAAGAUUUGUGUAUGGAGGACACUGAAAAUUUUGAAGAUGAUCGAAAUUGUAGCCUAUCUCCUGAUUUGUUAAGGAUGGUAGAUCAAGAGGAGAAACAAAUCCUACCUCAUAAGGAGUCAGUGGAAAUUGUUAGCUUAGGAGAAGGAAAAGAGGUGAAAAUUGGAGCUAGUAUCGCUGCAGAAACAAAGCAAGACCUCAUCGAGUUACUUCGAGAAUUCAAGGAUGUUUUUGCAUGGUCAUAUCAAGACAUGCCCGGAUUGAGUACUGAUAUCGUGGUACAUCGACUCCCUGUAAAGGAAGAAUGCAGGCCAGUACAACAGAAACUCCGAAGGAUGAGACCCGAUGUUUUGUUAAAGAUAAAAGAAGAGGUCAAAAAGCAAUUCGACGCCCUUACAAGUGGUCAAGUACUCAGAAUGGGUAGCCAACAUAGUCCAGUUCCUAAGAAAGAUGGGAAGGUACGAAUGUGCGUAGACUAUCGGGACUUGAAUAAAGCCAGCCCCAAAGAUAAUUUUCCAUUGCCUCACAUUGAUACACUAGUGGACAACACGGCAGGUUACUCACUUUUCUCCUUCAUGGACGGCUUCUCGGGAUAUAACCAGAUAAAAAUACAUCCUGAAGACAUGGAAAAGACAACAUUUGUAACCAUGUGGGGAACGUUUUGUUAUAAAGUGAUGCCAUUCGGAUUAAAGAAUGCAGGAGCAACAUAUCAGAGAGCCAUGAUAACUUUGUUCCACGACAUGAUGCACAAGGAGAUCGAAGUUUACGUUGACGACAUGAUUGCAAAAUCCAAAAUCGAGAAGGAGCAUGUGCAAGUCCUGAGGAAACUAUUCUUAAGAUUAAGAAAGUUCCAACUAAAGCUCAAUCCCGUAAAGUGCACCUUCGGGGCCAGGUCAGGAAAAUUGUUGAGAUUUGUAGUUAGUGAGAGGGGAAUUGAGAUUGACCCAGAUAAAGUCAAGGCUAUACAAGAAUUACCCCCGCCACGCACUCAAAAAGAAGUUCGAGGUUUCCUAGGAAGAUUAAAUUACAUCGCCCGUUUUAUCUCACAACUAACGGAGAAAUGUGACCCUAUAUUUCGUCUCCUUAAGAAGCAUAAUCCGAGUGUUUGGGAUGAGGAGUGCGAGAAAAAUUUCGAUAAAGUCAAACAUUAUUUGUCCAAUACCCCAGUACUGAUGCCACUUUGCCCGGAUAAACAGCUAAUACUGUACUUGACAGUGUUUGAAAACUCCAUGGGAUGCGUGUUGGGCCAACUCGACGAGUCAGGAAGAAAAGAGAAAGCGAUAUACUAUUUCAGCAGGAAAUUCACCAAAUGUGAGACAAGAUAUUCGUAGAUCGAGAAGUUGUGUUGUGCUUUAAUUUAGACAACCCGAAGACUGAGACAAUACAUGUUGUACCACACAACUUGGCUUAUCUCGAAACUAGAUCCUUUAAAGUAUGUGAUGGAGUCAAAUGCUUUGAAAGGAAGAAUAGCUCGUUGGAAAAUUUUGCUUUCUGAGUUUGACAUAGUCUAUGUGAACCAAAAGGCUGUAAAGGGGAGUGCAAUAGCAGAUUUUCUGGCCAGUAGAGCUUUAGAAGAUUAUGAACCAUUGAGCUUUGACUUCCCGAAUGAAGACCUAAUGUACGUUGCGACCACGGAAGAAGACUCUCAAGGAGGUCACCUGUGGAAACUGAAUUUUGACGGAGCUUCAAAUGCUGUGGGUAACGGAAUCGGGGCAGUCUUGGUAUCCCCAAACGGAGAUCAUUAUCCUUUCACCAGUAAACUGGAUUUUGAUUGCACAAACAAUAUGGCCGAAUACGAAGCAUGUAUCAUGGGAAUUCGUGCAGCAAUAGAAUGUAAGAUUAAAGUGCUAGAGGUAUAUGGGGAUUCUGCAUUAGUGAUCUAUCAGCUUAAAGGGGAAUGGGAGACGAGAGACCCUAAGCUGAUCAAUUAUCGAAGGCUGGUUCUUAAGUUAAUCGAGGAGUUUGACGAUAUCACUUUCUGCUACCUUCCACGAGACGAAAACCAGAUGGCUGAUGCUUUGGCAACCUUAGCUUCUAUGAUCAAAGUGAAUAAACAAGAGGAUAUGAAGCCUAUCCAAAUGAGUAUUUAUGAGGCUCCGGCUCAUUGCUGCAACAUUGAAGAAGAAGAGAAAGAUGAUCAUCCUUGGUACCAAGAUAUUUUACGAUAUGUGAAGAGUCGUGAAUACCCAGACCAAGCGACUGAGAAUGAUAAAAGGACACCAAGAAGGCUGGCUAGUGACUAUGUCUUGGAUGGAGAGAUCCUAUACAAAAGAAGGAAGGAUCAGGUACUCUUAAGAUGUGUAGACGCUGUCGAGGUUAAGCAAAUCCUGGAAGAGGUUUAUGAGGGUGUCUGCGGAACACACGCUAAUGGUUUCACCAUGGCCAGACAUAUUAUGAGAUUCAGAUAUUAUUGGUCCACCAUGGAGGGAGAUUGCAUCAACUAUGCCAAGAAGUGCCAUAAAUGCCAAAUUUAUGGAGAUAAAAUGCAUGUACCUCCUUCACCCCUUCAUGUCAUGACUUCUCCAUGGCCUUUCUCCAUGUGGGGCAUGGAUGUCAUUGGGCCGAUCUCACCAAAGGCAUCUAAUGGACACCGAUUCAUCUUUGUGGUCAUAGAUUACUUCACCAAAUGGGUAGAGACUACUUCUUAUGCCAACUUCACAAAGUCGGCAGUUAGUAAGUUCUUAAAGAAAGAGAUUAUAUGUCGAUAUGGGAUGCCUGAAAGAAUCAUAUCUGACAAUGCAUUGAACUUGAACAACAGCACGAUAGCGGAAGUUUGUAGCCGUUUCAAGAUCAAACAUCAUAACUCGUCACUGUAUCGCCCAAAGAUGAAUGGUGCAGUCGAAGCAGCCAAUAAGAACAUCAAGAAGAUCAUAGGAAAAAUGACUGAAACCUAUAAAGAUUGGCACGAUAAAUUACCAUUUGCCCUAUACGCCUACCGGACGUCAGUCAGAACCUCUACCGGGGCAACAUCUUUUUCUUUAGUUUAUGGAAUGGAAGCGGUUUUGCCUAUUGAGAUUGAGAUUCCCUCUCUACGCGUACUUUCAGAACUAAAAUUAGAUGAAGCCGAAUGGAUCCAGUCUCGAUACGACCAGUUGAACUUGAUUGAAUAAAAGAGGCUAAAGGCUAUCCGUCAUGGUCAAAUGUAUCAAAAGAGAAUGAUGCGGGCUUAUAAUAAGAAGGUUCGCCCUAGAGAAUUCCAUGAAGGAGACCUCGUAUUGAAAAAGAUCCUCCCCAUACAAAAGGACUUCAGAGGGAAAUGGAUGCCGAAUUGGGAAGGACCUUAUGUGGUAAAGAAGGCUUUCUCUGGAGGGGCUCUGAUUUUGACCGAGAUGGAUGGAAAGAGCCUACCUAAUCCCGUUAAUUCAGAUUCAGUCAAGAGGUAUUUUACCUAAAAAAAAAAGGAGAGGCCAAGGUGAAAACCCAUGAAAGGGCGCUUUGAGACCAAAGGGGUUUGAAUUGAAAACCCAGGAAUGGGCAAUUCAAAUUUUGAUCGAACAUGGGGCAUACGGUAGUUUUGUCCUUCUCUGAAUUAACAGAAGGGAGGGAUGCUACAUAUUGGGGCAUCAACAAAGUACUCUUGGUCUUCCAAACACAUACCGAGUUAAAAAAGUCCUCGAGAAGUUUGUGCAACGAAGCUCAUACUGCGAUAUUUGGGGCACCUAUUUUUAUCUUAUUCAUUUUGUUUAGCAGAAUGUGCAACUUUGAUUAAUUCAUAGGUCCUCAUUUUAUAUCUUAACAAAUGUGCUAUCUUAAUUACUUUGUUCAUCUUAAGCUUCGCUCUCAAUAAAAUUCCAUCUUGCCUAUUGCGAUAAUCUUUUUCAAGCGUCUCUCAUUAAAUUGAUGAUUAAUGGACUAAUAAUAUUCAAAAAGAGUUCUGCAUAUUACUCUAAAAUUCUUCUAAAUGAUACAAGGAUCUGAAACGGGACUAAUUAGUUUGAAUUACCCUACAUCCAAAGGUUGGAAACGUUGGUGAAAUAACAGCCCAAAUUGUGAUUAUUUGUCGGGUUUUCUGCCAGAGAUACCGGUUGAAGAAAAGGUAGAGUAAUACGUCAUUGAUAAAAUCUCAGUGAACGACGAGUAAUAUCAGAUCAAGCAUGAAAAAAAAAAUAAUGACAUUUUCAUUCAUAUAUCAUUCAUAACACGUCUAGUUAGGAGCAUUUGAUUCAUUUCGAUCAUAGCAUCCUAAUUAUUUGGCAUAAGCAUGGUUACUUGGAACCGAUUCUAUAGACAAUACCCCUAGAGGAUGGUGUAGCAACAACGGCGAAUUCGCAGAUCUUGACCCCCUAAGCAGUAGGGAAAUAUAUCGAAGAUGAUGGGCUUUAACCCCCUAAGCAGUAGGGUAACAAGCCGAAUUUACAAGCCUUAACCCCCUAAGCAGUAGGGUAACAGGCUGAAGAUUUACAAAUCUUAACCCCCUAACCAGUAGGGAAACAGAUCGAAGACGAAGGGUCUUAAACCCCUAAGCAGUAGGGUAACAGACCGAAUUGUAGAUCUUAUCUCCCUAAGCAUUAGUGGAGAUAAUCGAAGACGAAGAACCUUAAACCCCUAAGCAGUAGGGCAACAGGUUAAAUUCACAGAUCUUAUCACCCUAAGUAGUAGGGAAACUGAUCGAAGACGAUGGGCCUUAACCUCUUGAGUAGUAGGGUAAUAGGCUAGAAAUCAAAUAUCUUCUUCCUGAAAUGGCGUUGGAGCGGCUAAAAGCCACAGCAGAUCUCCUUGAAGUUUCAGCGAACCUCUUCUUCCUGAAAUGGCGUUGGAGCGGCUAAAAGCCACAAUAGAUCUCCUUGAAGUUUCAGCGGAAGAAGAUCAAAACAAGUCUUAUCCCCCUGAAGUUGCAGAGGAGCAGACUGAAGAUAGCAGAUCUGACAUUCCUAUCCUUAUAGUGAAGCAGAUUGGAGAUUCCAGCAUCGUAUCCCUGUGUUUAUAGGGAACAAGUUGAAGAUGACAGAUUUGGAGUCUCUGUAUUAGACGGGGAGCAGAUCAAAGAUAGAAGAUAUCGCAUUCCUGAGUUGCAGUAAAGCAGAUUGCAGCUGUCAAGAGGCCAUUUAAAGAAGAUCAAGGAUCAAGAACUCAUGACUCGGCGAGCCCGGGCAAAAUUGGUCCUUCUAUAAUCUUUGCUCCAUUCUCGUUACACGACAAUGAGCAAAGAGGGGCAGCUGUAAGGCCUAAAUUUUAACCGGGCCCGAUAUAACAAAACCAAGUAACCAAAUAUAAGAGUCCAAUAGCCCAAAUCCAAUAACCCAAACCCAAUUUAUAAACCCUAAUAGCCCAAGCCCACUAUGUUAAAAAAAUUUUCAGUAGCCACCAAAGUUUUCAGCCGCAUGCCUUCAGCCACCAGCCUUCUCACGCCCGCCACCACCGCUCGGGGCGCCAAUCACCGGCCUUCCACGCGUCUGACACUCUCAUGACCUGCAAACAUUUGGAAAAGAGGAAAAAUGGCAGCAAGAAGCACAAGCAGUAGCAAAAAAUAAAACAACAAUAUUUUAAUAUAGGAAUCGGCUAUAAAGCCGAAAUGAAACUGAUUGUAACGGGGACGCACAUUUGAAUCAAAGAACAGAAAAAAAUUUAAUGGUUGAUCUCUGAUUUAUUUUUUUUUCUUUGUUUUCAUUUCGGUCUUUCAUCUCUUUAAAUUUCUUUUUAUUUAUACUACAAAUCUAAAAAACAAAAAGGGUAUAAAAUCAAAGAAGGGGACUUACCCGAAUCGAAGUGACCGUCGUCGGAGAUCGCUCCUCUGUCGUCGGAUUCGACCCGAAGAGGUCGUAGAGGGUUCCUUCUUUGGAUAUUCUUUGGUCGAGGAAGUUUUUGCUGUUGAGUUCGCCUUAAAUACGGGCUUGAAAGCCCGGUUUACACCCCAACCACCGCCUGUGGUGGCGCUGCGGUGAAGGUGGCGAUGAAGGUUCUAAGAACCCUAGCCGAAAGGAGCAGGGAGAGGGAGAGAGGGUAAAGGCCCUCUGUUUUCUUUUUUCUUUUUUAAAAUAGA
rnacentral:lncRNA from 1 species